AUUGAACGCUGGCGGCAUGCCUUACACAUGCAAGUCGAACGGCAGCACGGGUGCUUGCACCUGGUGGCGAGUGGCGAACGGGUGAGUAAUACAUCGGAACAUGUCCUGUAGUGGGGGAUAGCCCGGCGAAAGCCGGAUUAAUACCACAUACGAUCUACGGAUGAAAGCGGGGGACCUUCGGGCCUCGCGCUAUAGGGUUGGCCGAUGGCUGAUUAGCUAGUUGGUGGGGUAAAGGCCUACCAAGGCGACGAUCAGUAGCUGGUCUGAGAGGACGACCAGCCACACUGGGACUGAGACACGGCCCAGACUCCUACGGGAGGCAGCAGUGGGGAAUUUUGGACAAUGGGCGAAAGCCUGAUCCAGCAAUGCCGCGUGUGUGAAGAAGGCCUUCGGGUUGUAAAGCACUUUUGUCCGGAAAGAAAUCCUUGGCUCUAAUACAGUCGGGGGAUGACGGUACCGGAAGAAUAAGCACCGGCUAACUACGUG
rnacentral:rRNA from 1 species